rnacentral:sRNA from 1 species
ACGGCUGGUGGCGUACUUCCCGAUAACGGGCAGUAUCGUCACGUCUGCAGUUUACACACCGAUACCCGGCCCGCUAAAACGCGGGCUUUUUU